GUGUCAGCAGCCGCGGUAAUACGGAGGGUGCAAGCGUUAUCCGGAUUCACUGGGUUUAAAGGGUGCGUAGGUGGGAAGGUAAGUCAGUGGUGAAAUCCCCGAGCUUAACUUGGGAACUGCCAUUGAUACUAUCUUUCUUGAAUACCUUGGAGGUGAGCGGAAUAUGUCAUGUAGCGGUGAAAUGCUUAGAUAUGACAUAGAACACCAAUUGCGAAGGCAGCUCACUACACGGUCAUUGACACUGAGGCACGAAAGCGUGGGGAUCAAACAGGAUUAGAUACCCCGGUAGUCC
rnacentral:rRNA from 1 species